CCAAUAGCGUAUAUUAAAGUUGCUGCAGUUAAAAAGCUCGUAGUUGAAUUUCGGGACCAUCAUGUCGGUCGUGCCUCGGUACGUACUGGCAUUGUUGGUUUCUCCCUUCUGACGAACCAUGAUGUCAUUUAUUUGGUGUUGUGGGGAAUCAGGACUGUUACUUUGAAAAAAUUAGGGUGUUUAGAGCAGGCUCACGCUUGAAUACAUUAGCAUGGAAUAAUGAAAUAGGACGUUUGAUUCUAUUUUGUUGGUUUCUAGGAUCGACGUAAUGAUUAAUAGGGAUAGUUGGGGGCAUUAGUAUUCAAUUGUCAGAGGUGAAAUUCUUGGAUUUAUUGAAGACUAACUACUGCGAAAGCAUUUGCCAAGGAUGUUUUCAUUAAUCAAGAACGAAAGUUAGGGGAUCGAAGACGAUCAGAUACCGUCGUAGUCUUAACCAUAAACUAUGCCGACUAGGGAUCAGAUGAUGUUAAUUUUUUAAUGACUCAUUCGGCGCCUUACG
rnacentral:rRNA from 1 species